AUGGUCAUCCAAGGUCAUCUAUGGUCGUCCAUUGGUGAUCUGUGGUGGCCAGUGGUCAUCCGUGUCCAUCUGGGGUCAUAUCUGACCAUCUGUGGUCAUCUCCUGGUGGCCAGUGGUCAUCCGUGGUCAUCUAUGGUCAUCCAUUGGUCAUCUAUGGUCAUCUACAGUCAUCUAUGGCCAUCCAUGGUCAUCCAAAGUCAACCAUGGUGGGCAGUGGUCAUCUGUGGUCAUCCAUCCAUGGUCAUCUAUGGUCAUCGACAGUCAUCCAUUGGUCAUCCAUUGGUCAUCCAUUGGUCAUCUGUGGUGGCCAGUGGUCAUCUGUGGUCAUCUAUGGUCAUCCAAGGUCAUCUAUUGUCAUCUACAGUUAUCCAUGGUUAUCCAUGGUCAUCUAUGGUCGUCCAUGGUCAUCUGUGGUCAUCCAUGGUAAUCCGUGGUCAUCCAUGGUCAUCUAUGGUCGUCCAUGGUCAUCUAUGGUCAUCCAUGGUAAUCUGUGGUCAUCUAUGGUCAUCCAUGGUAAUCUGUGGUCAUCUGUGUCCACCUUUGGUGACCACUGACCACCAACGAUGACCGCUGAUCACCAGUGAUGACCACCAAGGAUGACCACUGACCAACAACCACGAUCACUGACCACCACCGAUUAUCACUGACCACAAGUGAUGACCACUGACCAACGAUGACCACCAAGGAUGACCACUGACCACCCCACGGUGACCAAAGCCACCUCCAGCCGCGUCUUGCUGACCACUGACCACCUGUGGUCACUCCGUGGUGACCACUGACCACCUGUGGUCACCCCCAGGCCACUUUUGACCAUCCCAAGGCCACCCCCAAAGUGACCAGUGGUCAUUCUUGGUCACCUCAAAGUGACCACUGGUCACUCUUGGCCAUCCCUGACCACCCCAAAGUGACCACUGGUCACUCUUGGCCUCCCCUGACCACCCAAAAAUGACC
rnacentral:lncRNA from 1 species